rnacentral:lncRNA from 1 species
CAAGGUAGCAGAUUCCCAGCCCCGCCCAGCUUUUGGGAACCACAGCGUUGAGAGUCUUCCUGGGUCACCCCUAAGUAAUGACAGCCCAGGGGCCAGAGCCUGACUUGCUGCUUUCCUGUCAGCUCUCCACCAGCUCGCACAGUCCCCUUUUCUCCUCCGCCCAUGCCUCCAGCAUGCUAUUUUUACAUGUGCCUCUCACACAUCUGUGGUUUAUGCACGGACACACUGACUCACAAAAAUGUGUCAUAAAUGGCUUUUGCAAUCCGCCUGCCCACAGCAUCCCUGGUAUCACAGGGUUUCAGAAAGUGCUCAAGGCCUGGCAGCUUCUAGACUGUACACAUUUUCAAGGCCUAUGCAUGACUUGCUGUUACUGGAAUUGUGGCCACCUGAUAUGCAUUGCGGCAUGAGCCAGCCGGAAAGAGCGAGAUUUAGCUGGCUAACUGCAACCUUAUUUUAUCCCAGAAAUUGUUCUUUUUUUUUGAAGAAAGAGGUAUUUAAUAUUUUUGUCUUUUCCUUUCAGGGAUUUACAGAACUUCUUCCAAUCGACUUGAUUAAAAUUUUUGAUGAAAAUGA